GACGAACGCUGGCGGCGUGCUUAACACAUGCAAGUCGAACGGAAAGGCCCUGCUUUUGUGGGGUGCUCGAGUGGCGAACGGGUGAGUAACACGUGAGUAACCUGCCCUUGACUUUGGGAUAACUUCAGGACACUGGGGCUAAUACCGGCUAGGAGCUCCUGCUGCAUGGUGGGGGUUGGAAAGUUUCGGCGGUUGGGGAUGGACUCGCGGCUUAUCAGCUUGGUGGUGGGGUAGUGGCUUACCAAGGCUUUGACGGGUAGCAGGGCUGAGAGGGUCACCGGCUACAUUGGGCUGGGGAUGCGACCCAGACUCGAACGGGAGGCAGGAGUGGAGAAGAGUGCACAAGGGGCGGAAGGCUGGUGCAGCAAAGCCGCGCGCGGGAUGAGAGCAUGCGGUUUGUAUACCGCUUUCGCCUGUGACGAAGCGUGAGUGACGGUAAUGGGUGAAGAAGCACCGGCUAACUACGUG
rnacentral:rRNA from 1 species